GAUGAACGCUGGCGGCGUGCCUAAUACAUGCAAGUCGAGCGAACGGACGAGAAGCUUGCUUUUCUGAUGUUAGCGGCGGACGGGUGAGUAACACGUGGAUAACCUACCUAUAAGACUGGGAUAACUUCGGGAAACCGGAGCUAAUACCGGAUAAUAUUUUGAACCGCAUGGUUCAAAAGUGAAAGACGGUCUUGCCGUCACUUAUAGAUGGAUCCGCGCUGCAUUAGCUAGUUGGUAAGGUAACGGCUUACCAAGGCAACGAUGCAUAGCCGACCUGAGAGGGUGAUCGGCCACACUGGAACUGAGACACGGUCCAGACUCCUGCGGGAGGCAGCAGUAGGGAAUCUUCCGCAAUGGGCGAAAGCCUGACGGAGCAACGCCGCGUGAGUGAUGAAGGUCUUCGGAUCGUAAAACUCUGUUAUUAGGGAAGAACAUAUGUGUAAGUAACUGUGCACAUCUUGACGGUACCUAAUCAGAAAGCCACGGCUAACUACGUG
rnacentral:rRNA from 1 species